UAACAGCUCACUGGUCGAGUGGACAUGCGCCGACAAUACACGGGGCUAAGCUGGACACCGAAGCGGCGGGAUUUUAUCUAUAUAGAAUCGGUAGGGGAGCUUCCCAUGGGCGGUGAAGCCGCCGGGCGACCGGCGGUGGAGCGCAUGGGAGUGAGAAUGCUGGCAUGAGUAGCGAGAGACGAGAGAGUAACUCGUCCGCCGUGAACCCGAGGUUUCCUGGGCAAGGCUAAUCCUCCCAGGGUCAGUCGGGGGCUAAGGCGAGGCCGGGAGGCGUAGCCGACGCGCAGCAGGCAGACAUUCCUGCACCGCGCACGCGGCGCUACGACCGACGGGGCGACGGAUGGGGGUGGCUCGGCGGGGUUCUGGACGUCCCCGUGAUGGAGCGCGGCCCGCGGACCAGGGAAAUCCGGUCCGCACGAGGGCGAGGCUCCGGACGAAGCGAUCAAGCGAAGCGAGUGAGCCCGAGGUCCCUAGAAAAACCCCUAGGCAGGCGCGUGCGCGCCCGUACCGCAAACCGACACAGGUGGGUGGGUAGAACAUACCGAGGCGAUCGGGUCAACCAUGGUCAAGGAACUCGGCACAAUGGCCCCGUAACUUCGGGAGAAGGGGUGCCCGCGCGUACGUGAACCGGCUUGCCCGGGGAGCGGAGGCGGGCCGCAGUGGAGAGGCCCAAGCGACUGUUUACCAAAAACACAGGACUCUGCAGAAGCCGCAAGGCGACGUAUAGGGUCUGACGCCUGCCCGGUGCCGGAAGGUCACGCGGAGGAGUUAGCGCAUCGCGCGAAGCCCCGAAGCCAAGCCCCGGUAAACGGCGGCCGUAACUAUAACGGUCCUAAGGUAGCGAAAUUCCUUGUCGGGUAAGUUCCGACCUGCACGAAAGGCGCAACGACUUGGGCGCUGUCUCGACCAUGGACCCGGUGAAAUUGCACUGGUCGUGAAGAUGCGACUUACCCGCGGAAGGACGGAAAGACCCCGUGAACCUUCACUGCAGCUUGGCAUUGGCCGCUGGUCCCGCGUGUAGAGGAUAGGCAGGAGGCACAGAUCCGGAGGCGCCAGCCCCCGGGGAGCCGCCCUUGGAAUACUGCCCUCGCGCGACCGGCGUCCUAACCCGAGGCCGUCAACCGGCUCGGGGACCGUGCCAGGCGGGCAGUUUGACUGGGGCGGUCGCCUCCUAAAGGGUAACGGAGGCGCGCGAAGGUCCGCUCGGGACGGUCGGCAACCGUCCUUUUGAAUGCAAGAGUACAAGCGGGCUUGACUGCGAGGCCCACAAGCCGAGCAGGUGCGAAAGCAGGCUCUAGUGAUCCGGCGGCCCCGAGUGGGUGGGCCGUCGCUCAACGGAUAAAAGGUACUCCGGGGAUAACAGGCUGAUCUUGCCCAAGAGUCCACAUCGACGGCAAGGUUUGGCACCUCGAUGUCGGCUCAUCGCAUCCUGGGGCUGGAGCAGGUCCCAAGGGUACGGCUGUUCGCCGUUUAAAGCGGUACGCGAGCUGGGUUCAGAACGUCGUGAGACAGUUCGGUCCCUAUCCUCCGUGGGCGCAGGAGAAUCGAUGGAGGCUGCCCCCAGUACGAGAGGACCGGGGUGGACGCACCUCCGGUGAACCGGUUGUCGACCAACGGCACGGCCGGGUAGCCGCGUGCGGCGCGGAUAACCGCUGAAGGCAUCUAAGCGGGAAGCCGUUCCAGGGAUUAGUUCUCCUUCCGGUAAGGGCCCAGGUAGACUACCUGGUCGAUAGACGGCAGGUGCAAGGCUGGCGACAGCCUCAGCCGAGCCGCACUAAUCGCCCGAGCUCUUCCGGA
rnacentral:rRNA from 1 species